AACAACUUCAACAGGAGAAUCAUUUCUAUAGUAUUUGUCUCUUGCUUUGGUUCCCAAAAGAGCCAUCGAAUCCACCCUGGUUGAUGAUUGCAUAUCCUCGAUACCCAAGAGUGAAUUUUCUGGUCCUCUCGCUCUGUCCGCAAGGAUGGCGGUAGUUUGCCUUGUUGCAGCUGCUGUAUAGAGAGUUGUUUUUUCUUCUUGAUGAUCUCGACCCUAUCCGUGGUCAUGCCUUCGGGCGCACUGGUAGGGUGGGUGUCGAUGGACGUCUGACAGGC
rnacentral:snoRNA from 1 species